rnacentral:lncRNA from 1 species
AUCUGCAAUUUGCAGAUUUUCAAAGUUAAGUCCUGCUCUCGCGUCCCCGCUGAGUCUGUUUUGCGUCUAUUUCACGCCAACACGACUCGGACUUGUCCCCGACACUCUCCAGAGCUGUCGACAGGCCUCAACAGCUGUACACCUGGGAUACCACAUAAAAUUAAAUACAAAAUCGGAAUUUGAAUUCUAAUUUAAAUUUGAAUCUAAAAUCAAAAUUUAAAUUUAAAAUUUAAAUAUUAAAUUAAAAAGAAAAUUUUGAAUUUAUAAAUUUAAUGAGUUAAUUAUACUAUUGGUUCUCAACCUUUGCUCUGUUUUUUAAUUUGAUUUUUAAUUUUUUUUUAUUUUUUUGCAAUAUGCUGACACAGCGCCAUCGUG